UUGAUUUUUAAUAAAAGGUGGUUUCUGCUCAGUGGGUAUUUUAAACAGCCGCGGUAAUUUGACCGUGCGAAGGUAGCAUAAUCAUUUGCUUUUUAAUUUUGGGCUUGUAUGAAUGGAUUUACAAGGGUUUUUCUGUCUUAAAGAAAUGUUUAGAAAUUGGUUUUAUUGUGAAGAAACAGUAAUUUAGUAAGGGGACAAGAAGACCCUUUUGAUCUUAACUUUUUUUGAAUGGUGUAUUUUUUUAAAAAGUUUGAUUGGGGCGAUCGUAGAAGAGAAAAAUCUUCUUUUUUUAGAGACUUUAUGGUCCAAAAUUUUUGAUGAAAGGAUUAAGUUACCAAAGGGAUAACAGCGUUAUUUUUUUUGUGAGUUCUUAUUAAAAAAAAAGAUUGCGACCUCGAUGGUGACUUAUAAUUUUUCUUUUGGUGCAGU
rnacentral:rRNA from 1 species